GAAGAUUAGCCCUGAGCUAACUGCUGCCAAUCCUCCUCUUUUUGCUGAGGAAGACUGGCCCUGAGCGAACAUCCAUGCACAUCUUCCUCUACUUUACAUGUGGGACGCCUGCCACAGCAUGGCUUGACAAGAGGUACCAUGUCCGCACCCAGGAUCCGAACUGGAGAACCCUGGGCCGCUGAAGCAGAACACGCAAACUUAACCGCUGCGCCACUGGCCCGGCCCCCACGUGUGUGGCUUGCCAAGCAGUGCCAUGUCCGCAGCCGGGAUCCGAAGUGGCGAACUCCCAGGCCGCCGAAUUGGAACGUGCGAACUUAGCUGCUGCGCCACAGAGCCGACCCCCUGGAUAAUGUUUUCUUAAGUAAGAGCACAAUUGUGAGGAGUUGAAAAAGGGAAAAGACAUGAAAAGAAGAAAAGGAAAGAGAACUGAGAAGAAAGCAGAUGACUUGUAACCGGUAAUAGUAGACUAAUCCAACAGAAAAGAGGAGAAAACAAAAGAAAAAGAAAUGAGAGAAAGUAAAAGUAAGGACAUAAUAUAAAGCUGAAGAAACUGAAGCGAUCUGCCUUUUGGCUUCCUUUCUCUUUUGCUCAAGCGAGACGCAGAUGGUCUGUCCUAUCUCAGCAGGAAAUCUCUGUCUGGCUGACACCCUGAAUGAUUCAGCUGGAUUCCCUACGUGGGGUGGGGGGAGGAUUUCUUGCCAGGAAGAUGGUAACUAUAAACUCCAUUUAUUCGACUGUUAUUCUAGAGUACCUAUUCUGUAAGUCACAACGGGAGAAGCAAGAAAUAUGAACUCCUGUUCUUUAGAAACACAAACACAAUCCCAAAUACGAAAGCUAUUACAUUUAGACUGUAAGUCAAGUCACGCAAGUAUUAUUUUUGAACCUUGGAUUAAAACUAAAGGCUCAAAAUAAGGGAGAAGAAAAGAAAACUGUGGAACAUUUCCACCAGUGGCAUUUAAAACAAGGGCAAGGCUUAGCUAUCUGGCUUAAAGCAGACCAAUUCUCCUACUUAGAAAAGCCAGAAAAGCAGGACGAAACACACACACACACACACACACACAGCCCUCUAUUUAAUGUUGUUGAAGAACUGUGAAAGUAGCCAAAA
rnacentral:lncRNA from 1 species